AUCGCUUCUCUGCCUUUUGGCUAAGAUCAAGUGUAGUAUCUGUUCUUAUCAGUUUAAAAAAGAUCAUACAGAAAAUUGUUUUGCUCAAACAUUCCAACCUAAUCUUGGGUCUUAUGUUUGAGCAACUCACUAUCUAAGUGAAUUUUUGUGGCAGUGAGUUUUAGAAGAUUCACCCUUCUGAUCACAC